rnacentral:rRNA from 1 species
UACGUAGGGGGCAAGCGUUAUCCGGAAUUACUGGGUGUAAAGGGGGCGUAGACGGUAAUGUAAGUCUGGAGUGAAAGGCGGGGGCCCAACCCCCGGACUGCUCUGGAAACUAUGUUACUAGAGUGCAGGAGAGGUAAGCGGAAUUCCUAGUGUAGCGGUGAAAUGCGUAGAUAUUAGGAGGAACACCAGUGGCGAAGGCGGCUUACUGGACAGUAACUGACGUUGAGGCUCGAAAGCGUGGGGAGCAAACAGG